ensembl:misc_RNA Metazoa_SRP Metazoan signal recognition particle RNA
GCUGGGUGUGGUGGUGCAUGCCUGUAGUCCCGGCUACCUGGGAGGCUGAGGUGGGAGGAUCGCUUGAGCCUGGGAGGUCGAGGCUGCAGUGAGCUGUGAUUGCGCCACUGCACUCCAGCCUGGGCAACAGAGUGAGACCCUGUCUCAA